rnacentral:lncRNA from 1 species
GACCCCUUCCCUUUCUCUGCCCCGUCUGUGUCUUCCUCCCCAGGUUCUGCGAUUGAUCCUUUGGUAGUCCUUUUCGUUUUCUUCCUAGAGUUCGGAGAAUGUUCUACCUAACUUACUCCAAGUGACAUGCUCACUCCCCUAGGCACGCGCGCCGCGAGGAUGGAGCGCUGAGCCUGGGGCUGGCUAGGAUGACCUGGACAGCAACCUUUCCUCAACGCAGUCAUCUUCCCUCCUCCCCAAAUGUAAAAAUGCAGCUGCUUUAAGCUGAGAGAAAUAACGUAUCAGCUUCCCACCUCCGGCCUCAGCAGACACCUCCGAGGCGUUCUGCUGCGGCCCCUCAGCGUCUGCCGGAGCUGAGGCGGAUCCUCGGGGAGAAGGCUGACG